ACUCAAAUGAAUUGACGGGGGCCCGCACAAGCGGCGGAGCAUGUGGAUUAAUUCGAUGCAACGCGAAGAACCUUACCUGGGCUUGACAUGCGCCAGACAUCCCCAGAGAUGGGGCUUCCCUUGUGGUUGGUGUACAGGUGGUGCAUGGCUGUCGUCAGCUCGUGUCGUGAGAUGUUGGGUUAAGUCCCGCAACGAGCGCAACCCUUAUCCUACGUUGCCAGCGCGUUAUGGCGGGGACUCGUGGGAGACUGCCGGGGUCAACUCGGAGGAAGGUGGGGAUGACGUCAAGUCAUCAUGCCCCUUAUGUCCAGGGCUUCACACAUGCUACAAUGGCUGGUACAGAGGGCUGCGAUACCGCGAGGUGGAGCGAAUCCCUUAAAGCCGGUCUCAGUUCGGAUCGCAGUCUGCAACUCGACUGCGUGAAGUCGGAGUCGCUAGUAAUCGCAGAUCAGCAACGCUGCGGUGAAUACGUUCCCGGGCCUUGUACACACCGCCCGU
rnacentral:rRNA from 1 species